rnacentral:rRNA from 1 species
UGAAUACGAGACGCUAAGGCGUCGAAGUAGUGUAUGUCAGACUUCCAAGAAAAGCUCGCACUGUCAUAGGUAAAAAAUGCCUGUACCAUAACCGACACAGGUGGGUAGGUAGAGUAUACUAAGGGGCGCGAGAUAACUCUCUCUAAGGAACUCGGCAAAAUGACUCCGUAACUUCGGGAGAAGGAGUGCCUUAUUUAUAAGGUUGCAAUAACAAGAUCCAAGCAACUGUUUACCAAAAACACAGGUCUCCGCUAAGUCGUAAGACGAUGUAUGGGGGCUGACGCCUGCCCAGUGCCAGAAGGUUAAAGAAGUUGGUUAGCAUUCGCGAAGCUGAUAACUGAAGCCCUGGUGAACGGCGGCCGUAACAAUAACGGUCCUAAGGUAGCGAAAUUCCUUGUCGGGUAAGUUCCGACCCGCACGAAAGGCGUAAUGAUUUGGAUACUGUCUCGGAGAGAGGCUCGGUGAAAUAGACUUGUCUGUGAAGAUGCGGACUACCUGCACCUGGACAGAAAGACCCUAUGAAGCUUUACUGUAACUUGAAAUUGAAAUUGGACUUUAGUCGCGCAGCAUAGGUGGGAGGCGUUGAGAAUAUUCUUGCGGGAAUAUAGGAGCCAUCAGUGAGAUACCACUCUUCUAAUGUUAGAUUUCUAACCUUGAACCAUUAUCUGGUCAAGGAACAGUUUCAGGCGGGCAGUUUGACUGGGGCGGUCGCCUCCCAAAUGGUAACGGAGGCGUACAAAGGUUUCCUCUGAACGGAUAGAAAUCGUAUCUAGAGUAUAAAGGCAUAAGGAAGCUUGACUGUGAGACUUACAAGUCGAGCAGGGACGAAAGUCGGUCUUAGUGAUCUGACGGUACUGAGUGGAAAGGCCGUCACUCAACGGAUAAAAGUUACUCUAAGGAUAACAGGCUGAUCUCCCCCAAGAGUUCACAUCGACGGGGAGGUUUGGCACCUCGAUGUCGGCUCAUCGCAUCCUGGGGCGGUAGUACGUCCCAAGGGUUGGGCUGUUCGCCCAUGAAAGCGGUACGCGAGCUGGGUUCAGAACGUCGUGAGACAGUUCGGUCCAUAUCCGGUGUAGGCGUUAGAAUAUUGAGAGGAGCCUUCUUUAGUACGAGAGGACCGAGAAGGACAUACCUCUGGUGUACCAGUUAUCGUGCCAACGGUAAACGCUGGGUAGCUAUGUAUGGAGUGGAUAACCGCUGAAAGCAUCUAAGUGGGAAGCCCACCUCAAGAUGAGUAUUCUCAC